rnacentral:lncRNA from 1 species
CUCACUCUAUGUUUCUAUUUGUUUUUGCAGAGUUCCUUAGUUGAAAAUAGGAUAUCAGUCAUACCCACUAGUUUAGUUGUAAAACAUCGCGAUUUUAAGUUUUCAUAUAUAGGAAAGCUACCAUUGCCACUCACUACAGGAGAUUUUUAGUCCUCCCUCCGAUCCUAAAUUGUUGUCCAAAUAUUACAUGUAUCUAGACGCUUUUUAAGAAUAGAUACAUCCAUCUUUGGACAAAUUUGAGUCACAAGUCCGCCAAACCCGGCGCGUGGUCGCCAUAAUCCUUUGCCUU